rnacentral:rRNA from 1 species
AUUGAACGCUGGCGGCAGGCCUAACACAUGCAAGUCGAGCGGUAGCACAGAGAGCUUGCUCUCGGGUGACGAGCGGCGGACGGGUGAGUAAUGUCUGGGAAACUGCCUGAUGGAGGGGGAUAACUACUGGAAACGGUAGCUAAUACCGCAUAACGUCGCAAGACCAAAGUGGGGGACCUUCGGGCCUCAUGCCAUCAGAUGUGCCCAGAUGGGAUUAGCUGGUAGGUGGGGUAACGGCUCACCUAGGCGACGAUCCCUAGCUGGUCUGACAGGAUGACCAGCCACAUUGGAACUGAGACACGGUCCAGACUCCUACGGGAGGCAGCAGUGGGGAAUAUUGCACAAUGGGCGCAAGCCUGAUGCAGCCAUGCCGCGUGUGUGAAGAAGGCCUUCGGGUUGUAAAGCACUUUCAGCGGGGAGGAAGGCGGUGAGGUUAAUAACCUCAUCGAUUGACGUUACCCGCAGAAGAAGCACCGGCUAACUCCGUGCCAGCCGCCGCCGUAAGAC